rnacentral:misc_RNA from 1 species
AGUCCACUUAAGCCUUGCUUAGUAUUGGGAAUCUACCGAGGCUACCCUGUAGCUACCCUGUAGUUCCUUAAAGACAUCGGCGGAGUUGUGAUAUCUCUGAGCUUAGUAAAUACUCGAAGCUUCUGGGCCGUCACAUCCCCUGCCGUUAAACCUUCUGCUUCUGUAGAAUUUUAAU